GGGGAAGCGCUGAGAUCCGUCUGAGUUCAACCCCCGGCCCCCUCAUCCCCGGACCCCGUUCCCCGGACCUCUCCUCUGGCGGUCGGCAGCCCCCUGAGCGGGCUGAGGAGAAGGCGGCCAGGUCGCAGAGCCCUUCUCAGGUGCCUCCUCUAAGCUUAUGUCCACUUGUAACCUUUGAGAGGAAGGCCUCUGCUCUUCCCGGUGACAUCAUCCCUGGGCCCAGUGAUGGGGUCCACCUGUGAGAGACCAGGAAUAAUUCUCUAAAGUUGGUAUGGAAAAAAUAUGACUCAGUUAGAUCCAGUAGUACAAUCCACUGAGCAACCCCACCAGAGGUGCUGUGGAUUUUCUGGGCAGUGAGUGACGUACACAUUCCAUCAGAGGAUAUCAGAGGAUAUCAGCCCUGUCACAGUGUAACAGUGGAACUGUUAGGGUCGCCGAAGGAGAGUGCUGUUCUGUGGUGUGGAUGGACCACAGCUUAGCCAUUCCCUGGUGGAAGACAUCUGGUUUGUUUCCACUGUUUACAAGUAAAGCUGCUAUGAGCAUUUGUGUACAGGAUUUUGUGUGAACAUAAGUCUUCAAGGAAGUACAAUUACUGCCCAGGCAGCAUGGCUCAGUGGUUGAGCAUCGACCUAUGAACCGGGAGAUCACAGUUCAAUUCCCGGUCAAAACACAUGCCCAGGUUGUGGGUUCAGUCCCCAGUGGACGGCG